ACCGAGUUUACAACUCCCAAACCCAAUGUGAACGUUACCAAACUGUUGCCUCGGCGGGAUCUCUGCCCCGGGUGCGUCGCAGCCCCGGACCAAGGCGCCCGCCGGAGGACCAACCAAAACUCUUUUUGUAUACCCCCUCGCGGGUUUUUUAUAAUCUGAGCCUUCUCGGCGCCUCUCGUAGGCGUUUCGAAAAUGAAUCAAAACUUUCAACAACGGAUCUCUUGGUUCUGGCAUCGAUGAAGAACGCAGCGAAAUGCGAUAAGUAAUGUGAAUUGCAGAAUUCAGUGAAUCAUCGAAUCUUUGAACGCACAUUGCGCCCGCCAGUAUUCUGGCGGGCAUGCCUGUCCGAGCGUCAUUUCAACCCUCGAACCCCUCCGGGGGGUCGGCGUUGGGGAUCGGCCCUGCCUCUUGGCGGUGGCCGUCUCCGAAAUACAGUGGCGGUCUCGCCGCAGCCUCUCCUGCGCAGUAGUUUGCACACUCGCAUCGGGAGCGCGGCGCGUCCACAGCCGUUAAACACCCAACUUCUGAAAUGUUGACCUCGGAUCAGGUAGGAAUACCCGCUGAACUUAAGCAUAUCAAAAGGCCGGAGGAA
rnacentral:rRNA from 1 species